rnacentral:rRNA from 1 species
UACGUAGGCAGCAAGCGUUGUUCGGAGUUACUGGGCGUAAAGGGUGCGUAGGCGGCUUCUUAAGUCUGGUGUGAGAUCUCCCGGCUCAACUGGGAGGGUGCGCCGGAUACUGAGGGGCUAGAGUGUGGGAGAGGAAAGUGGAAUUCCUGGUGUAGCGGUGAAAUGCGUAGAUAUCAGGAGGAACACCGGUGGUGUAAACGGCUUUCUGGACCAUAACUGACGCUGAGGCACGAAAGCGUGGGGAGCAAACAGG